rfam:Schistosoma rodhaini strain Burundi genome assembly, scaffold: SROB_scaffold0001224
AUCUAUCUGACGAGUCCCGAAAAGGACAAAACGCGUGUCGUGGAU